AAACAGGUAAGCUAAUAAGCUUUUGGGUUCAUACCCCAACUAUGAAGGUUCCACCCCUUCCCUUUUUA
rnacentral:tRNA from 2 species